rnacentral:ncRNA from 1 species
CGUUCAGAGAUUGCCUCUGUCGUUACUUACUCUAUGUAUGUGAUGGGAAUGCAGUUGCUGA